rnacentral:rRNA from 1 species
GUUUGAUCCUGGCUCAGGAUGAACGCUAGCGGCGGGCUUAAUACAUGCAAGUCGUACGGGAUCCGAGGUAACAAUACUUUGGUGAGAGUGGCGCACGGGUGCGUAACACGUAUGCAACCUACCUAUAACCGGGACACAACCUCGAGAAAUUGUGGCUAAUAUCCCAUAACACUGCGAAAUGGCAUCAUUUUGCAGUUAAAACUCCGGUGGUUAUAGAUGGGCAUGCGCGACAUUAGCUAGUUGGUGAGGUAACGGCCCACCAAGGCUACGAUGUCUAGGGGUUCUGAGAGGAUUAUCCCCCACACUGGUACUGAGACACGGACCAGACUCCUACGGGAGGCAGCAGUAAGGAAUAUUGGUCAAUGGGCGCAAGCCUGAACCAGCCAUGCCGCGUGAAGGACGAAGGCCCUAUGGGUUGUAAACUUCUUUUGUACGGGAAAAAACCUCCGGUCGUGUAUCGGUGCUGAUGGUACCGUAAGAAUAAGCAUCGGCUAACUCCGUGCCAGCAGCCGCGGUAAUACGGAGGAUGCAAGCGUUAUCCGGAUUCAUUGGGUUUAAAGGGUGCGCAGGCGGAAUAAUAAGUCAGCGGUGAAAGCCUACAGCUUAACUGUAGAACUGCCAUUGAUACUGUUAUUCUUGAGUGUUGUUGAGGUAGGCGGAAUGUGUCAUGUAGCGGUGAAAUGCUUAGAUAUGACACAGAACACCGAUCGCGAAGGCAGCUUACCAAGCAACAACUGACGCUCAUGCACGAAAGCGUGGGGAUCAAACAGGAUUAGAUACCCUGGUAGUCCACGCCGUAGACGAUGAUCACUCGAUGUUGGCGAUACACAGUCAGCGUCUUAGGGAAACUAUUAAGUGAUCCACCUGGGGCAGUACGGUCGCAAGAUUGAAACUCAAAGGAAUUGACGGGUGGCCCGCACAAGCGGAGGAGCAUGUGGCUUUAAUUCGAUGAUCACGCGAGGAACCAUUGCCUGGGCUCGAACGUAGAAUGACAGGUCGCGGAAACGAUGAUCUUCUUCGGACAUUCUUACGAGGUGACUGCAUAGGUUGUCGUCAG